rnacentral:rRNA from 1 species
AUUGAACGCUGGCGGCAGGCCUAACACAUGCAAGUCGAGCGGAUGGCGGGAGCUUGCUCCUUGAUUCAGCGGCGGACGGGUGAGUAAUGCCUAGGAAUCUGCCUGGUAGUGGGGGACAACGUUUCGAAAGGAACGCUAAUACCGCAUACGUCCUACGGGAGAAAGCAGGGGACCUUCGGGCCUUGCGCUAUCAGAUGAGCCUAGGUCGGAUUAGCUAGUUGGUGGGGUAAUGGCUCACCAAGGCGACGAUCCGUAACUGGUCUGAGAGGAUGAGCAGUCACACUGGAACUGAGACACGGUCCAGACUCCUACGGGAGGCAGCAGUGGGGAAUAUUGGACAAUGAGCGAAAGCCUGAUCCAGCCGUGCCGCGUGUGUGAAGAAGGUCUUCGGAUUGUAAAGCACUUUAAGUUGGGAGGAAGGGCAGUAAGUUAAUACCUUGCUGUUUUGACGUUACCGACAGAAUAAGCACCGGCUAACUCUGUGCCAGCCGCCGCCGUAC